rnacentral:misc_RNA from 1 species
UCAACCAUCAAGCCUGGCUUGUCGUUGGACCCUUUGUCGUUGAAAUACACGACAGGUCCAAAAGAUAACAACGGUGUCUGUUCGACCCUAGAUGCAACGAGCUUUUUACAGCACGCAUUGAAGUGGUUAGGCAGGCCCCAUCUUCACCAUCAUUUUCUAAGGUUGACCUCGGAUCAGGUAGGAAUACCCGCUGAACUUAA